AUAGAUGUGACCUCACUGCAGAGGUGGAGUUGGGAUCGCGAGAUGAAAGGAACCGGACGGUGGGUCGUGGCGGGAAUUUUGAAGUCAAUUUACGGCAUUUUGUAUCAUAGUCUACCAACAGUGUUUCCGUCAGAGAACGCAACUCCGUUUAAGUCCUCAAUGGACUCCACGCGUUUGUGUUCAAUAUGGAGAGAAAAAUAUCCGUGGCAGGCCCUGCAUAGUUGCCUGAGGACUGAUAUGGAGGGCUGAGAUGGCAUUGCAUCUAGACUGGCAGAAGACUUGAAGGCAAUUUGUCACAUGUAUGGAGAUCGUGAACCAACGCUGAAUGAACUCAGGUUAAAGUGAAGGACGCCCCCGGGGCCCACGCUGCCCAUUGAUACCCACGUGGUGCUGAUUAGCUCUGCGCUCCCAGCUGCCACCUGUGUGCCAUGCGUCGCCAGGGACGACCACGCGCGCCAACCACCGGUGAUCACCGCUGUGAAAUGACCCCACACUUCUCCCAAAGAAGUGGGUUCCAAACUAACUCAUGACCCAGUUUAUUAGCAAAUAAUAUUUUCCCCGGCCAGCCCCUUCAUAAAAUGCUGCCUUCUGUGUUCGAAUACAGAAUUCUAAUGUGUUUAACAUAUGUCAAAACAGCUGCGCAUGCAUGAGUAGUGAUGUGUGCAUAACUAGAGCAGUGUUUAAUUUGACUGGUGGGUGCCUACAGGCAAUGCAUAAUAUAAAUAAAACUUUGUUAUUCACACGUAUCUCACACUGGAUAGGGGUAGGCGGCGUGCCUGGGGGGUGACAGCAUACACAGAGCCCCAGUGAUGAGAAAUGACCUCACACAUUCACACCCACUGGGGGCUGUGCGCAUGUAGGCUAUGGGGGACUGUGGGGGUGGUGCAGUGGUCAGGCUGUGGAUGACGGGAAGGCACUCAGCCCCUCAAUGCUGAUCAUUUAAGUUUUCAACACAAGUCCUCCUAUGAAACCCAGCAAUGUGAAAGGGUUUAAUAUGGCUUAUGGUAUAAAUGUCUUUAGUUAACAGAGAAAUGCCUCAGGUUUCCUCACUUAGAGUAACAUCUUGAAGCAAUUUUCCUUUUAGUUUGUUGUUCUAUUCAUUUAAAUUAAGAAAUGUUCAUAAUUUGAAUGAGUGAAAAGCCAACAAUGCUGUGUAAGUGUGUAAAUUCAGGACUCAAGGAUCAGGGGAAAGCACAAUUUCUGAUAGAUUAAAUAGAGCUAAAGGUCUCCAUGGAUACGGACCAAUCCAGAAAGGAGGAAACUGGUCAUGGUGCAUGUCACCUGCCCAAUUCCUGAUUGCGCCAGAACAGCAGUGACCCAUUUAUCCACAAAUAAUAAAGAUUGCUAGUUGCAGCAAUUGUGAAGCAAAUGCAGUUUUCAGAUUUCUUGGCCUGUAAAUCACACACACACACACACGGCCAGUUCCUGAUGUGUGCACAUUUAUGUUGGUGUGUGUGUGUGUGUGUGUGUGUGUGUGAAUGGGAAGCUGUAGGAUUUACUUAAGUAGGGAGGCGUGCUCGUCAGCGAUACUCCAGCUGGAGAUUUCCUCAGACACCCACCUCCACUCACAGCCUGCCUUGAUCCACUUUCAUAGUGAUUAUUACACUGGCCGCAGCAAGGAAAUCUCUGUCGUGACAAAUGAGCUAUGGAUCCAGGAUUAAGACAUGGUGAACACAACAGUCAGGAAGUGUGUGUGUGUGUGUGUGUGUGUGUGUGUGUGUGUGUGUGUUCCUGCAUGUGUGUGUGUGUGUGUACUUUUGCAUUAUUGCCUCUUAAUCAGGCUCAGUGCUUAGCACUGGGUCCUCUGAUUUAUGCUUCUUUUUACUCCCACACUUAGUUAGUUAUUUAUUUAUUGUUUUGUUGUUUUGAGGGAUCAACUGUACUGCUUGUCAGGAGAGAUUCUUGUGUCAGGCCUGCAAAAAUAACGCGCUAUCUGUCAGUGAAAAACAAACCGAUAAAGGCAGAAGCGGUGUCAAAGCUACUGCCUGUGCAUAAACCAGUGGAAAAAUAAACUGCGUUCAUAAACAGUGACUUUCACCACAUAAUUGUAAAACACCCUGCAGCGGUUUGAUACAAGUACAAUGUUGACCAUGUUUGCAAGUGUUACGGUUGUAGUUUAAGUUGUUUUUGCUAAUUCAGUACAUUUACACUGGACACAGUUUUAGGAAGAGCUUCCUGAUUCUGUCUGCAAUUCAGCAAUUAGCUAUGGUUGUCAAACCUGCUUUUAUCAACAUUUUUAUAACCGCAAUAAAUUCAUUAUAUAAUGUGUCAUACUGAAAAUAAAUAAAUGCUUUACUAUAUUUCAAUGAUAAAUCAGGAUUUUGGUAUGAAAAGUCACAGAUUUCUUCACUGCAAAGAGGCUUUUUCAUGCUGGCAUAUCAAUAUGAGUCUCUGUGAAACAUGAUGCAUUGGAUCAGGUAUCUUUCCCUGUCUCACUGGCCCCUGUGUUUGUAUGUGGGGGGUGGGGCUAUGUUUGUGUA